rnacentral:lncRNA from 1 species
CCGCCUUCGAACGCCCCAAAUAUAGAGAGGGAGAAAACGCACAUCGCGCCGUGUUGCACACCCGCGACCAGUCGUCGCCGGUUUCAGCGCAGACGCCCGGGCCGCACCGAUCAGCCUCCUCUGUCAGCAGCGCUGCAAGUUUGUAGCAGACGUCUUCUCCAGCUACAUCAGUCCGGCAGCAGUAGUGCGAUUCUUGAGCCUUCACAGCAGCAGCCAGCAGAUUCGCAGCCCUGAGGUCUCUGCCGGCCCACCUUCGCUCACAGAUCCGCCGCUCAGAAGCCCAUUACGGCCACGCCCACCGCACAGUGCCACUCACCCGCGACCAGUCGCCACUGUUGUCACGCCGCUUUGUCCCAACCGAACGGGCAGUCAGUCCUACCUCUUUUAAAGCUAAGUUCUACUACCUUAUCUCGGGUGAUGUUCAGUUGA